GAAGAAGGACUUACUGUUAUGGGGAUUAGCCAAUCAGCGGCUUCGUUUCGGGGUCACAGAGAGAACACAGUUUUAGCGCUAACAGUUUUAGUUUCGUUUUGAGUUGGUUGUGAGAUUGGCCGGUAAACGCAUUGUAGAAUUUACUGAGGUGAAUAGAUGUCUUCCAUGUCAAUAUCUGUGCAUGUGUGCGUUCAGAGACAUGUGAGUACCCUGAUCUAAAUGUUUACGUAUGUGUAUUUCGGUGCCUUGGGUUGUUAAGAGUUUAUUCUGAGAUACUCUAUUGAAAUGCAGUAUGUUAGCAUAAAGUUCGCUAGCAUUAUGUUAAUGCCUAUUAAUAUUAUUUUUAUAUUAAUAUUGUGUUUAUAUGUGUUCUCACUUGACACUUUAUAGUUUUUAUCUGAGAGUAAUUAUGGUUGAGAAGUAGAGACCUAGGUUUUUUGGUUUGAUAGUAGUGAUAACUAGCAGUAUGAAGACAGUUCUUUAAGGCAAUAAGAAGAUAAUGUUUUUAUCUGGUAUUUUAUUUUGGUUAUUUGAUAUGUAUAAGCAGCUAAUGCUACUUAAAGGGAAAUGUAUAAUAAUUACAAGUUAUUACCUUUGCUAAUUGAAUCAUGUCAGCACUGUUGUUUAUUUGUAUUCUGAUAUUUUCUUUCUUUUAUUGUUUAUUGUAGAACCACACACACCUACUGUACGUACAUGAAGACAGAUAAUCCUCUGCUGAGUGUCAAUAAAACCAUCAAAGAGAUUUACAGCAUCCAAUUGCAUUCUUAUCGAUGCACCACAGUGGUCACUUGUCCCCAACUAGCUACAGUUACAGUCCUAGCUAUCAAGUCGUCAUUACAAAUUUGGUCCUUCGAGCCGGAUUCAGUUUGUGACCGCUGUGCGUGAGGAUGUUCCCAUAUGCGAGAGAGGAGGCAACGCCACUUACUGAUACCCGCCCGAGACGUCAGAUACGUCCGCCAGCCUGGUUUGCUGAUUAUGAAGUCUCCCUGCCUGUUGUGGAGAGACCCUCCCGGGCUGCAGCACUCUCCUCGCAGCCCCCCCAUCAGAUGCAGGAGCCUUACUAUGGUGGUGACAGGAUCGAUCAGCUGUUAACAUGCACCUCCCAGCUUUAUGAUCAGUGGAAUCAGACUGGUGCUCGCCCUAAGUAUCCCAGAGAUUCAGCGUUCUCAGGACCCCAUUAUCAGAGCACCCCAGACCCACUGUCUCACAGAGUAAACUCAGGGGCUUCACCUGAAAUAUUAGAUGAGCUGCAAAAGAUUAGGGAGGAUAACCGAAGACUUCAACUUAUCAUAAUGGAGAUGCAAACACAGCUUAGUUCAAGAAGAGGCCCAGAUCCAUCACAACACACUGCGCUCUCCCCCGAGGAGUACAGCCCGAACGUGCAGUCGGGAGUGCACGCUGCAUCCAUUAGCUCACCAAGGCCCACAACACAAGUUACGGUCCAUAACACAUUAGCACCUGUCCAGGUACCCAGUGAAGUAGAAGUGGACGAUGAAGACUGGCCCCUCCCCCCCCCUCCAGUGGCAGAUGAUGAGGAGAAGCCACAGCUAUCCACUACCACACUGUCCACAGAGUUAGUAGCAGAACUAAUGACAUGCCUUAAGAAGAUGGGGAUCACUCAAGAUCAGCUUCCUGGAAUGCCGGCAUUUGGCAAUGAUAAUCGGGUUGCAUCUGGUCAGAUGAGGAGGUCACACCAACCAACGGAUCCACAAGUCCGUCCACAGAUAUCACCCCCUUUAGUUCCUCAUGAGCCAGGCGCAGCUAAUGAAACGAGACACGAGGACUCUCACACUCGCCGAGCAACGGAGUACAUAUAUCGGGGUCCUCAACCCACCAUCCCAGACUUUAAUAGAGGGGACCCUCGUGAGUUUGCUAGGCUGAAGACCUCCCUGGAAAAUCUACUCCCCCAUGAUGCUACGGAGAGGUUUAAAUAUCAGAUUUUAGUUGAUCAUCUCAAAUUUGAAGAAGCGCUCCUUAUCGCAGAUUCAUACACCAACUCUACACAACCCUACACUGACACUAUGGCCUCAUUAACAGAGCAUUAUGGGCAACCUCACCAGCUAGCAUUAAGGCGCAUUGCAGAUCUGAUGGAGGCGCCUAACAUUCGUAGUCAGGACAUCACUGCCUUUAAAGGAUUUGCUCUCAGGGUGAGAGCCUUGGUUGGCAUGCUCGACCAGCUUGGAGAGAAAGGUCAUAUUGAGCUUCAGUGUGGGUCUCAUGUCACUAGGCUUAUGUCCAAGCUUCCACAAGAUCUGCGGUAUGGGUUUAUGAGAUACCUACAUCCCCUCAGCAUCCGUGUCCCUACGCUAUUAGACUUCGCCCGCUGGCUGGAGUUUGAGCUGCAGAUUCAGGAGUAUGGAUAUGAGUCCCGACCCCAAGAGAACCCAGACAGUAAGAGGGAUAGACGGAAGGACUCAAAGUUUGGCAGGCUAACCACAGUCCUCCAUGGAGCUGAACAAUCUUCUAGUUGCCCGACUGUCCCAGUAUUCUCAUCUACCAGUGCCAAUCCACAAGGCAAAGUCGCCCUACCCUGCCCAUACUGUACCGACGCCCUGCAUUAUCUGAACCAGUGCACUAACUUCAGCCGGUUAACCACUGAGCAGCGGAGAGACUGGGUUAAGAAAAACAGGCGGUGCUGGCGUUGUGGUCGUUGUCACCAGGCCGCACAGUGCAAACUUAAGGCCAGGUGCAAGAAUUGUAAUGGCAGACAUCUGGAAGCUCUCCAUGACCUUAACUUUAGACCAGCCAUAGUGACACCAGCCACAGAGAACACAUCAUGCUUAGUGAGUACUGCUAAUGAAGUUCUCUAUCUUGAUAGGCCGUCUGGCAGCAGUCAGGUGCUCCUAAAGGUGACAAAGGUUGUGCUACACAAUGGACAGCAUGCCAUGGAGACCUACGCGAUACUGGAUGAUGGGUCAGAGCGCACGAUGCUACUUCCAGCCGCCGCUAAGGAGCUUAAACUUAAAGGGGAGUCAGAGAACCUUGCUUUAAGGACGGUGCGCCAGGAUCUUAGGGUUCUACAAGGAAUGUCGGUCUCAUUCUCAAUUUCUCCUGCUAGGCACCCCCAAAAGACUUACAAGAUCCGGAGAGCCUUUACUGCUGAUCAAUUGGGCCUUGCAGAGCAUUCACAACCGGUGAAGACUCUUCAGCGCAAAUAUAAGCACCUGAGGGGACUUCCUUUGCAAACACUGGAAUGCGUUCACCCCAUGGUCCUCAUUGGGUCAGACUAUACGCACCUGAUCACCCCAGUAGAGCCGGUUCGUAUGGGUCCACCUGGCGGACCAGCUGCUGUAAAGACCAAGUUGGGCUGGACUAUUCAGGGCCCAACCAAGAUCAUCCGACAGCAUCUUCAGCCGCAGCAGUGUCUGCAUAUAUCCACACAGUCACCCUCUGCAGAGCUCCUUUAUCACGUGGAGAAACUAUGGAAAAUGGAUGUACUGCCGUUCAGGAGUGAGAAGGUAGUGGUCCGCUCAAAGCAAGAUCAAGAGGCAGUUCGCAUGCUGGAAACCAAGACAGUGAGGGUGGAAGUCGACGGAGUACAUCGUUACGCCACCCCCUUGCUUCGUGUUAAUAACAUGCCGUGUCUCCACGCCCCCAAAGAUGCUGUACUGGCGAGUCUGCGGAGCACUGAGAGACGUCUGAUGAAAGACCCAACACGAGCAUCAGCCUAUGCAGCAGAGAUCCUGAAAUUGGAACAGGCGGGGUACGUGAAGAAGGUAGCAGAGGAAGAUCUGAGCACAUCAAGAGAGUCCUGGUUUAUACCUCACCACAUGGUGAGUCAUAAUGGAAAAAACAGGCUUGUAUUUAACUGCUCCUUUGUAUACAAGGGCUACAACCUAAAUGAGCUUCUACUGCCAGGCCCAACAUUGACCUCCAGCCUGCUAGGUGUCCUGUUGAGAUUCAGGGAGCAUGUUGUUGCUAUAAGCAGCGACAUAAAAGGCAUGUUCCAUCAGAUCAGGUUACUGCCAGAAGACAGAUCUCUGCUUCGUUUCGUGUGGAGGGACAUGAAUAAAGAGGCACCACCCGGCGUCUAUGAGUGGCAGGUCCUCCCCUUUGGAACAACAUGCAGCCCCUGCUGUGCAACGUUUGCACUGCAGAAGCAUGUGACAGAUCACAGCCAGCUAGAGGAGGAUGUCCGGGUGGCCGUCGAGCGCCACUUUUAUGUGGAUAACCACUUACAGAGCCUCUCCUCCUCUACAGCAGCAAGACAGCUGGUUGACAAAUUGAAUAGGUUAUUGGCCUCAGGGGGGUUUGAGCUGCGUCAGUGGGCUAGUAAUGUUCCCGAAAUUAUCAGUCACCUUCCUAAAGGAGCAAGAUCCCAGAACAGCGAGUUAUGGCUCACAGAGUCAAUGGAGGAUCCACAGGAGCUUGCACUUGGACUCAGAUGGCUUUGCGCCUCAGACACUCUGGCCUACAAGUGUAACGUCACUGACCGUCCCACACCGACUAUGAGGAACAUCUAUAGUACACUGGCACGGCUUUUUGAUCCGCUAGGCUUUCUCGUUCCCUUCGCCACGCGGGCCAAAAUCAUUGUGCAGCACCUAUGGAACAAAGAGAGGGAGUGGGAUGACCCGUCACUGCCAGAUGAUGCCCUCAAGGCCUGGCUAACUUGGGAGAAUGAGCUGCAACACCUUCCAGAGAUUGUCUUGCCACGGUGCUACACAAGUCCCCCUCUGGACCACCCCAGUUCUGUCAGAAGCCUUCAUAUAUUCUGUGACGCAUCUGAGAAAGCUUACGGUUCAGUUGCGUACCUUCGUACAGAGGGUUCAGGUGGUAAGGUGGAGGUGGCCUUUCUGACUGCACGGUCGAGAGUGGCCCCCAAGCGCCAACAGUCGAUACCUCGAUUAGAGCUGUGUGCAGCGGUGACUGGAGCUCAGCUAGCAGUGCUGUUGCAGCGUGAACUCACCCUGGUAAUACAUGGAGUGGUGCUUUGGACAGACUCCACCACGGUUCUCACGUGGCUUCAGUCAGACUCUUGCAGGUUUAAGGUGUUUGUGGGCACCAGAGUCGCUGAGAUCCAGGAGCUGACUGAUGCUCAAGCAUGGAGGUAUGUGGAUUCUGAAAGUAAUCCCGCAGAUGACAUUACGCGCGGGAAGACCCUGAGGGAGCUGGCAGGGGAGAGCCGGUGGAACCAUGGCCCAGCCUUUUUGCGCCUGUCACCUCAGCAAUGGCCUACUAAGCCACAGGCUGAGCAGUUGGAUGCCACAGAGCUUCGCAAGGCCACAUUUUGCGGCUCCAUCAUCACCGUUCCUCUUCCACCCUUAUUUGAUGCCAGCCAAUUCAAUGGUUUCAGGGACAUGAUCGAGGCAAUUGUGAGGUUCCGCCAUGGGGCGGCAGGUAGUCAGUCAAUGCCAUCUGCACAAGACUAUCAGGAUGCUGAGAUAGACCUACUGAGACGAGUUCAGUUAGACUGCUUUGAGGAAGACUUUCAACACCUUUCAGAAAGAAAACCCGUCCCUUCCACCAGCCGUUUGAUUACAUUAGCUCCUGAAUAUGAUGAUCAACUGAAGCUGAUUCGGGUUGGAGGCAGAUUGCGUCAGACUACCUUGCUGGACACAGAAGCCAUUCAUCCCAUAGUUCUGGAUCCAGCUCACCAGGUGACUAAACUUAUCAUUCAAGAUGCUGACCGAGACCUCCAUCAUCCAGGCUCAGAGCGAUUAUUUGCAGAACUUCGCAGACGAUACUGGAUUCUUCGUGGAAGAGAAGCUGUGAAGCGGCACCAGUUCUCCUGUCCUGAUUGUCGGAGAUGGAGAGCGAAGCCUGCAGUGCCACAAAUGGCAGACUUACCUCCCGCCCGUCUGCGGUUGAUGAAGCCUCCUUACUUCUCUACCGGAAUGGAUUGUUUCGGGCCCUUCACGGUCAAAAUCGGACGGCGUAAUGAGAAACGUUGGGGUAUACUAUUUAAGUGCCUCACUACCCGAGCAGUCCAUAUCGACGUCCUGACUAGUCUCGACCAGGAUUCCUUCCUGAUGGCCCUCCGCAGAUUUAUCUCACGCAGGGGAAAACCAGCGGAGCUUCUGUCGGAUCAGGGCACGAAUUUCAGAGGAGGUGAGAGGGAAAUCCAUGAGUCUUUCAAGGCACUGCACCCCACUUUACAGGCAGAACUGGCCAAACAUCAGAUCCAGUUUAGAUUUAACCCUCCAAGUGCCCCUCACUUUGGUGGUGCAUGGGAGAGGGAAAUAAAAUCUAUCAAAGCUGCCCUGUAUGCAACAAUUCAGAUGCAGACGGUGACAGAAGAAGUCCUGCGCACGGUCCUGAUUGAGAUCGAGGGCAUCCUAAACUCUAAGCCCUUGGGGUAUGUGUCCAGUGACGUCGCGGACCCUGAUCCAGUAACCCCCAAUUUGCUUGUGAUGGGGCGGCCCGACCCCUCACUGCCCCAGGUGUUGUAUCCUGAGUCCGAGCUGUUGAGCCGCCGCCGCUGGAGGCAUACACAGGUCCUUGCCGACCAAUUUUGGAGGGCAUUUAUCAGGCACUAUCUGCCGGCCCUGCAAACGCGCACCAAGUGGCAGAAAGAUGUGGCCCCAUUACAACCUGGUACUGUCGUCAUGAUCAUUGAUCCGCAGCUCCCGAGGGCGCUCUGGCCUAUUGGUCGCAUCACAAAGGUUAUCCCAGGUGCAGAUGGGAGGAUAAGGACAGCGGAGAUCCAGGUGAACGACAGGAAAUACAUCAGGCCAGUUGCCCGUCUUGUUCAACUUCCUGCCAUACCUGAGACAGCACCUGAGACCAACAGUCCUUCUAUGGGACAGCAAAUUUGACUGUGCAAAUUUGGGGGCGGCUGUGAAGAAGGACUUACUGUUAUGGGGAUUAGCCAAUCAGCGGCUUCGUUUCGGGGUCACAGAGAGAACACAGUUUUAGCGCUAACAGUUUUAGUUUCGUUUUGAGUUGGUUGUGAGAUUGGCCGGUAAACGCAUUGUAGAAUUUACUGAGGUGAAUAGAUGUCUUCCAUGUCAAUAUCUGUGCAUGUGUGCGUUCAGAGACAUAACCACACACACCUACUGUACGUACAUGAAGACAGAUAAUCCUCUGCUGAGUGUCAAUAAAACCAUCAAAGAGAUUUACAGCAUCCAAUUGCAUUCUUAUCGAUGCACCACAGUGGUCACUUGUCCCCAACUAGCUACAGUUACAGUCCUAGCUAUCAAGUCGUCAUU